CUAAAAUUAUUAAUUCGUUUGGUCAUUCAUAAUUAAUAUUUUUUUCUAAAUUAACCAUUUGUUUGAUCAUGUAAAUAGUAUAAAUUCACAAAAAGUAUAAAACAUAAAAAUAUUGAAUGAUUGAAAAACUAAAAUUAAGUUUGAGAAUGCAAUACUUUAUAACCUCAAUAUAUUAUCACAUAUAUCCACCAAUUAAUUACAGUACGAUCGCUAACAAUUAAUUAUAUAAAAAAAAAAAAAAAAACAUACAAAAGGCGAUCAAUCCUAACAUGUGAUUUGAACAAUAGAAAACUUCAAUUGAUCAUUUCAAUGAGUAAUUUAAUAAUUUAGAAAAAGAAUAUCAUAUGUUGUUUUUUUUUUUUGUUUUUUUUUUUUUGCAAAGAGUUGCUAAUUUAAAUGGGUUUGUUUGUUUUCAAUAUUUUUACUUAUUUGUAUUUAAACUCAUUGGAUUGUUUGUGCAUAAGUUUUAUUAUUGAUUUUUAAGAUGUGAUAAAAUAUGUUUGUAUAUUUUGUAGUAAUUUGUGGUUGCUACAUAUUAAUUACUAAUAUGUAAUUAAAAUAUUGUGAUGUAUUUAUAUACUAUGAAUUAAAAAAAGUAAUUGACAAUUAAAUCAAACUUGUAAUGAUAGUUAUAUUUUUUGUUGUUCGUUUUUUAAUCAUAGGGAUAUAUGUAAAGAAGUAGUAGAACGAGGAAGGCUAUCUCAUUUUGGAGAGGACUCCACCAUAUAUAGACAUUUAUUUGGGUGGCCAAGGUGGAUUCUCACUUAUUUUAAGAGAAGCAAAUAGUGUGCGGGAAUUAGAUUUUCCAUAAUCUCAAUAAAAAAGGAAUCAAAAACCACUACAAAGAACCAUAAUACGAUUUUUAUGAAGACAUGCUAGUCAUUUUGGAAUUUCCAUAACAAAGUUAUCUUCGAGGCAAAUUUCAUACCACCUCGUAACCUGUGGAGGUAAUUCAAAACUUCACUUAAGAGAUUGAUAGUCGUAUUUCUCAAAUCUUUUAUCACAAUCCUCGUGCUAAGGAUACAAUCUAUAUUGACUGGAGGAAGCCACAGGCAGAUUGGUCAAAGCUUAAUAGUGAUGGUACCGGCCAAAGGAAUGGAGAAACAUCAUGUUACGGUGGACUUCUUCGUAAUUAAAAAAGGAGAUGAAUCAAGGGCUAUAGUAAGAAGAUUGGAGCGUGUGAUGCUCUUCAAACUAAAAUGUGGGGUAUGUAUCUUGAGUUGGAAACAAUUGCAAGCUUUUCAGUCUUGGUGCCACACAUUUCGUAAGCUUUUUGAAUGUGAUUGACAAGUUCAAAUUUUCCAUAUCUGGAGGGAGGGAAAUGGAUGUGCUAACUCACUCGCCUCAUCUUUGCAAAAUUAUUUUGAUGACAUUCUCAGACUUGAAUGCCUCUAAAUGUCUGCCUAGUUUCGUAGUUUUUUUCUUCUUUUUAGGUCUUUGCUCUUUUUGUACCAAAAUAAAAAUGAAUCUAAAGAUAUCACCUCAUAUUAUUGAAUGAUGUAGUAUAAUUAAUGUAUUUGAUA